rnacentral:rRNA from 1 species
UACGGAGGAUCCGAGCGUUAUCCGGAUUUAUUGGGUUUAAAGGGUGCGUAGGCGGACCAAUUAGUCAGUGGUGAAAGUUUGCAGCUCAACUGUAAAAUUGCCAUUGAAACUGUUGGUCUUGAGUGUAAAUGAGGUAGGCGGAAUGUGUUGUGUAGCGGUGAAAUGCUUAGAUAUAACACAGAACACCAAUUGCGAAGGCAGCUUACUGGGAUACAACUGACGCUGAGGCACGAAAGCGUGGGGAUCAAACAGGAUUAGAUACCCUGGUAGUCCACGCAGUAAACGAUGAAUACUAGCUGUAUGCGAUAUACUGUAUGUGGCAAAGCGAAAGCGUUAAGUAUUCCACCUGGGGAGUACGUUCGCAAGAAUGAAACUCAAAGGAAUUGACGGGGGCCCGCACAAGCGGAGGAACAUGUGGUUUAAUUCGAUGAUACGCGAGGAACCUUACCCGGGCUUGAAAUGCAUCUGACCGAUCAGGAAACUGAUUUUCUAGCAAUAGCAGAUGUGUAGGUGCUGCAUGGUUGUCGUCAGCUCGUGCCGUGAGGUGUCGGCUUAAGUGCCAUAACGAGCGCACCCCUAUCAUUAGUUCUAACAGGUUAAGCUGAGGACU